GAUGAACGCUCGCUACAGGCUUAACACAUGCAAGUCGCGGGGCAGCAUGGGGGUUGCUUGCAAUCCCCGAUGGCGACCGGCGCACGGGUGAGUAACGCGUAUCCAACCUGCCCUUCACCACGGGAUAACCCGGCGAAAGUCGGACUAAUACCGUAUGUUGUCCAUUGAUGGCAUCCGAUUUGGACGAAAGGUUUGGCGGUGAAGGAUGGGGAUGCGUCCGAUUAGCUGGACGGCGGGGUGACGGCCCACCGUGGCGACGAUCGGUAGGGGUUCUGAGAGGAAGGUCCCCCACACUGGAACUGAGGCACGGUCCAGACUCCUACGGGAGGCAGCAGUGAGGAAUAUUGGUCAAUGGGCGUAAGCCUGAACCAGCCAAGUAGCGUGCAGGAUGACGGCCCUAUGGGUUGUAAACUGCUUUUAUGCGGGGAUAAAGUGGCCCACGUGUGGGUUUUUGCAGGUACCGCAUGAAUAAGGACCGGCUAAUUCCGUG
rnacentral:rRNA from 1 species